rnacentral:rRNA from 1 species
UGCAGUCGAGCGAGACCCCGCAAGGGGGGACAGCGGCAAACGGGGUAGUAAUGUGUCGGAACGUGCCCUGAGGUCGGGGAUAGCGGCGGGAAACUGCCGGUAAUACCCGAUGAUCUCGAGAGAGCAAAGGUGUGAUUCCGCCUUUGGAGCGGCCGACAUGGUAUUAGCUAGUUGGCGGGGUAACGGCCCACCAAGGCUGCGAUGCCUAGGGGAUGUGAGAGCAUGAUCCCCACCAUUGGGACUGAGACACUGCCCAGACACCUACGGGUGGCUGCAGUCGAGAAUCUUCGUCAAUGGGCGAAAGCCUGAACGAGCGACGCCGCGUGCGGGAUGAAGGCCUUUGGGUUGUAAACCGCUGUCGAGGGGGAUGAAGGCUGGAAAGUCAUCUUUCCAGUUUGACAGAGCCCUGGAGGAAGCACGGGCUAAGUUCGUGCCAGCAGCCGCGGUAAUACGAACUGUGCGAACGUUAUUCGGAAUCACUGGGCUUACAGGGUGCGUAGGCGGCUUUUCAAGUCAGGUGUGAAAGCCCCCGGCUCAACCGGGGAAUCGCGCUUGAAACUGAAGGGCUCGAGUCAGCUAGAGGUGCACGGAACUUCCAGUGGAGCGGUGAAAUGUGUUGAUAUUGGAAGGAACACCGGAGGCGAAAGCGGUGCACUGGGGCUGGUCUGACGCUGAGGCACGAAAGCCAGGGGAGCGAACGGGAUUAGAUACCCCGGUAGUCCUGGCCGUAAACGAUGAGUGCUGGACGGGAGGAGGUUCGCCUUCUCCGGUCGGAGCGAAAGCGGGAAGCACUCCGCCUGGGGAGUAUGGUCGCAAGGC